GAGAGAGAGAGAGAGAGAGAACAGAAACUUUUAUAAAGAAAGAAAAGGAGGGGGUGGAGGGCUUGCAAGAGAAUGAACAGAGAAGAAGAUUUUAGGUUCUUAAAUAAGAUAUUGCAGAGAACUGUAUUCAGACACCUGAAAGUAAAAAAAAAUUAAAAAUUUUUGUUUAUUUAUUUCACACAAAGAACAGAUAUACUCAUCUAAAAUUUGAAAGCUACCAAGACCCACGUUAUCUUUAAUGUGCAGGCGAAAGGAGGAUAAGUCUCACAACCCUGUAAAUCCUAAUAAAACCCAUUCAUUCUCUGACUUGAAUGAGCAGAA
rnacentral:misc_RNA from 1 species